rnacentral:rRNA from 1 species
UACAAGAUGGCAUCAUGGGUCCGCAUGUUCACAUGAUUAAAGGUAUUCCGGUAGACGAUGGGGAUGCGUUCCAUUAGAUAGUAGGCGGGGUAACGGCCCACCUAGUCUUCGAUGGAUAGGGGUUCUGAGAGGAAGGUCCCCCACAUUGGAACUGAGACACGGUCCAAACUCCUACGGGAGGCAGCAGUGAGGAAUAUUGGUCAAUGGGCGAGAGCCUGAACCAGCCAAGUAGCGUGAAGGAUGACUGCCCUAUGGGUUGUAAACUUCUUUUAUAAAGGAAUAAAGUCGGGUAUGCAUACCCGUUUGCAUGUACUUUAUGAAUAAGGAUCGGCUAACUCCGUGCCAGCAGCCGCGGUAAUACGGAGGAUCCGAGCGUUAUCCGGAUUUAUUGGGUUUAAAGGGAGCGUAGAUGGAUGUUUAAGUCAGUUGUGAAAGUUUGCGGCUCAACCGUAAAAUUGCAGUUGAUACUGGAUAUCUUGAGUGCAGUGAGGCCAGGCGGAAUUCGUGGUGUAGCGGUGAAAUGCUUAGAUAUCACGAAGAACUCCGAUUGCGA